rnacentral:rRNA from 1 species
UACAGAGGGAGCGAGCGUUAUCCGGAAUGAUUGGGCGUAAAGCGUCUGUAGGUGGUUUAGAAAGUCUACUGUCAAAUACCAAGGCUCAACCUUGGGCAGGCAGUAGAGUACUUUUAGACUAGAGUGUGGUAGAGGUAGAGGGAAUCCCUAGCGUAACAGUGAAAUGUGUAGAUUUUAGGGAGAACACCAGCGGCGAAGGCGCUCUACUGGGCCAAGACUGACACUGAGAGACGAAAACUAGGGGAGCGAAUAGG